UACGUAGGGUGCGAGCGUUAAUCGGAAUUACUGGGCGUAAAGCGUGCGCAGGCGGUUUUGUAAGCCAGAUGUGAAAUCCCCGGGCUCAACCUGGGAAUGGCAUUUGGGACUGCAAGGCUCGAGUUUGGCAGGGGAGACUGGAAUUCCUGGUGUAGCAGUGAAAUGCGUAGAUAUCAGGAGGAAUACCGAUGGCGAAGGCAGGUCUCUGGGCUGAAACUGACGCUCAUGCACGAAAGCGUGGGGAGCAAACAGG
rnacentral:rRNA from 1 species